rnacentral:rRNA from 1 species
CUAAGACUGAUGGCGACCGGCGCACGGGUGAGUAACACGUAUCCAACCUGCCGUCUACUCUUGGACAGCCUUCUGAAAGGAAGAUUAAUACAAGAUGGCAUCAUGAGUCCGCAUGUUCACAUGAUUAAAGGUAUUCCGGUAGACGAUGGGGAUGCGUUCCAUUAGAUAGUAGGCGGGGUAACGGCCCACCUAGUCUUCGAUGGAUAGGGGUUCUGAGAGGAAGGUCCCCCACAUUGGAACUGAGACACGGUCCAAACUCCUACGGGAGGCAGCAGUGAGGAAUAUUGGUCAAUGGGCGAGAGCCUGAACCAGCCAAGUAGCGUGAAGGAUGACUGCCCUAUGGGUUGUAAACUUCUUUUAUAAAGGAAUAAAGUCGGGUAUGUAUACCCGUUUGCAUGUACUUUAUGAAUAAGGAUCGGCUAACUCCGUGCCAGCAGCCGCGGUAAUACGGAGGAUCCGAGCGUUAUCCGGAUUUAUUGGGUUUAAAGGGAGCGUAGAUGGAUGUUUAAGUCAGUUGUGAAAGUUUGCGGCUCAACCGUAAAAUUGCAGUUGAUACUGGAUAUCUUGAGUGCAGUUGAGGCAGGCGGAAUUCGUGGUGUAGCGGUGAAAUGCUUAGAUAUCACGAAGAACUCCGAUUGCGAAGGCAGCCUGCUAAGCUGCAACUGACAUUG